rnacentral:rRNA from 1 species
CCUACGGGAGGCAGCAGUGGGGGAUAUUGCACAAUGGGGGAAACCCUGAUGCAGCGACGCCGCGUGUGGGAAGACGGUCCUCUGGAUUGUAAACCACUGUCCCCAGGGACGAAGCUGACGGUACCUGGGGAGGAAGCUCCGGCUAACUACGUGCCAGCCGCCGCGGUAAUACGUAGGGAGCGAGCGUUGUCCGGAAUUACUGGGGGUAAAGGGAGCGUAGGCGGGGAUGCAAGUUGGGUGUCAAAACUAGCGGCUCAAACGGUAGUCGCACUCGAAACUGCAGCUCUUGAGUGAAGUAGAGGCAGGCGGAAUUCCUAGUGGAGCGGUGAAAUGCGUAGAUAUGAGGAGGAACACCAGUGGCGAAGGCGGCCUGCUGGGCUUUUACUGACGCUGAGGCUCGAAAGUGUGGGGAGCAAACAGGAUUAGAUACCCUAGUAGUC